rnacentral:lncRNA from 1 species
UGAUUAAGCCCAGACAUGCCCAGACUGGGGUAUAAUUUUUUAAGCUUUCUCAGAAGCAUGGGACUUGACGAUGUCGUUAGGAUCUGUGAGGAUGAUGACUAUUGGAGGCUGAGCCGAUGCUGCAUCUUUGGCUGUCCGAUCUUCGCAAAUCGGGCUGAAGAGGUUCUCGACUCGCACUUCAUCAUCCCCAAUCUCAUCGACUUCCUCCUCCUCAUCAUUCGACUCCAAGGGCCCGAGGUUGAGGUCAGAAAAUUGAUUCUCGAUCUUCUCCUUGAAGUCUGCAAUCCCCUGCAGAUACGAGGCAGAGCUGAACUCCACCUUGAUAUCUUGAAGUUCGUUUGA